CCUACGGGUGGCUGCAGUGGGGAAUAUUGGACAAUGGGCGAAAGCCUGAUCCAGCCAUGCCGCGUGUGUGAAGAAGGCCUUCGGGUUGUAAAGCACUUUCAGUAGGGAGGAAGAGUUGAGUGUUAAUAGUACUCAGCUUUGACGUUACCUACAGAAGAAGCACCGGCUAACUCUGUGCCAGCAGCCGCGGUAAUACAGAGGGUGCAAGCGUUAAUCGGAAUUACUGGGCGUAAAGCGCACGCAGGCGGUUGGUUAAGUCAGAUGUGAAAGCCCCG
rnacentral:rRNA from 1 species